GUGACACAAGUGACUCAAACAAAAAAUUGUGCACGUGAAAAACGGUUCCGUGUACAUUUCACGUGUUUGUCAGAAGUUGUUGUGCUAUCACAGUCAAUUCUCCUGCAGUAUCUGCUUUGCUGAACAUGUCUAGUGCUUCGAUGGUGCUGUAAGUGUGCUUCCGUUGCGCAGAGGAAUGUGUGAAUUUCACAAUCGAUUUUCUUGAUGCAAGUGAGGAAGGAGGAGCAGGAUGUGAAACUCGGGCUGAAGUGUUGCUUUACUGUUGGGCACAGCUUCAGCUCACAUGUGAAGAAGUCACUGCAGACACACAGAAGCAGAGGAAAGAAAACAUAAACCGAGAUAAAAUGCCCGAGAUCAAAUACAUUGUUCUCUGGUUGCUGCAUAACAUUUCUUUUACUAUGGCAGGGACCAUUGCUGUAUACAGUAUUGAAAGUCAUAAUGCUACUCUGAAAUGCGGAAGUCUGAGUGUUGGUGCCCGCAGAUUAAUUACUUGGAUAUAUAGCAGAAAUUCAACAGCAACAAUGACUGAAAAUCUGACCCUCAAAUACAUGGAGAGAGCUGGAAGACUAAGUGUGGGGCGUGACUGCUCUCUACACAUUUAUAACGUAAGCACUGAAGAUGGUGGACGGUACACCUGUCGAAUAGGACAGGCCGAUAUUACCGAAGCUUAUGUGUCCGUUCUGACUAUUCGUCCACAACGGAUGGCUGACGGCACCAUGAACCUGCAGUGUCUGCUGUACACCUAUGAUGGUCCUGGAAGGUGUCAUAAAGUCCCAUUUCAUAAAGUGAGUCUGAAGUGGCUCAGUGACACAGGGACUGAGAUGCAGACGGACGUCAGGCAUCAGCAACACAAAUCCCCCUGUAACAUCACUCUGACAGUCAAACUGAAGGAGACAAGCAACAGAGAGUGGACGUGUCAGUUGCUCAAUGAGUCAAAAGCGAAGGGAUCACACAGUUACAGCAUAUCCGAAUCCAGCCAGGAUCCACACAAGUUCGUGAUAGCAGGUACUGUAGCUGCAGUGGCCUUGGUCAUGAUCAUCAGUGUGUGUCUUCUCCUCCUGGUGAAGUUCAGGAGGAGAGCAGGAGAUCGCCCCUGUCGGAGCAAAAGUGUGAAUAAUUGCAGCCGCUCAGCAGAUGGACAAAGAGACACAGAUGGAAACCUUGACAGCCCCAAUAAUCAAUAUGAAACAGUAAACGAAACCAGUGAAAAUACUUUAACCUAUACUGAGGUCCUAUGUGAACCAUCUAGACAGAAACAAAGAUGUAAACAGGAGGGAGAAAACAACGAAUUCUGCACCGAAUAUGUCACCAUCAAAAUAGCACAAACCUGAGUCACUGGACACAUCUAUAAAACUAUUCCUUAGGCACAGGUUUCCAGACAAUGGGAUGCUUCGCCAAGAUGUUGUUCGGAAAUGAUUUGGGCACCUUUUUCACAACCUUGGACCUGGAUGUUCUGACAGUAUCAGUCUUGAAGCCAUGAUCCAUUCUGGGAAAAGGCAUUUUGCAGAAAUCUGUGUAUGCAUUGCCAUUUAAUAGAAUGCAUUUCUUUAUUAAUGUCAUCAAUUUUGUAAUAACAGAGUUUUCAUGUGCUUUAUGUUUAUGUAGGUACAUAUGGUGUUAUACAGUGAAUUAAUAAAAUUGUGAAAAAGCUGUUAUUCA
ensembl:lncRNA